AUGCGACUGUAUGAAUUGUAAUGACUUUCGCAGAAGGGUUAAAAAAAAAAAAAAAAAAGUAAAAUAUCACGAAUGAAAAUUUAAUAAUGGGUUUAAUUAAUUUCGAAACGUGCCGUAAAAUUACUGGCAGAAAUUUUAUGCGGAAUGCAACGCGUAAAAAUUCAUUAGCGGACAUAACUUGUAACCGAAAUUAGAUACUUUUAUAAAGAACAUGUAAAGCCAAGAUGGCGUAACCGAUAGUGAUAUCCCCCACACACAAAAAUUAAUCCAAGAACAACAAGCUAAUUAAGUUACGGCAGCGCCAUGCUUCGAAAAUGUGCUACUUUCAGGAAAAUGACAAAUAAGUAAUUCUAGAAAAAUAUUUUUAUCUGGAACACGAUUCUAACUGAAUUCUGUAACGCGAUACUGAUUUAAAUAUAUAUAUAAAAACGGAUUAUUCAAGAACACGAUGCUAAAUAAAUCUGGGGAGGUCCAUAUCGGGGAAUAUAAAUCCGAAUACUUCUGAUUCAAACUAGAUAUGUUCUUAUCUAGAGAUUGUCGAACAAAUUCAGGAACAUUUUAUAGAUAAAUGUGUAUGUCGAAUGUAGAUAACUGUGACUGAUAAAGUUAUAGCGUAUCUCAUAAAAAUUAACUCAAAAACGUGAUGAUAAUUAAGCACUGUAACGUAAUGAUUGCGGUGAAUAAAUAUAUUCCGAAGUAUGUUUUCCAGGUACAUGUCGUUGACGGAAACAAAAAUUGGGCUCUUAUACUAACUAAAUUUAGGAAACAUAAAUUUGAUUAAAUCUAAGAACAUGCUGCUAAUUCAAUUUGGAGGCAUUCUCAUGUAGAUAGAUAAUGCUGAAUAAAUUUAAAAAUAUUUUGUAGAGGGAUAUGAUGUUGAGUGUAGGCAAUUGGAACUGAUAGGCCGCAUAGAAAUUAAGUCGGGAACAAGAUGAUAACUAUAUUUAAGAGUAUUAAAAAACAUAAUGAUAAUUAAACCUAGAAAAAUAUUUAUUUAGAACAUAAUGAUCGAAUUCGAUAAUUAAAUCUGAAACCCGGAUUAUCCAAGAACAUUUUAGUAAAUAAAUAUAAUGAAGUUCAAAUGAGGGGACAUAAAGCUGAAUAACUUCAUAAAUAUGUUUCUAAUUCAAACUAAUUGUACGUUUAUAUGAUGCUGAACAAAUUCAGGAACAUUUUAUAGAUCUGUGUAUUGAAUGCAGAUAAUUGUUAACUAAUAGAACAUACAAAAAUUAAGUCGUGAUUAUAAUUAAAUAUAGGAACAUAUACGUGAUCAAUGCAUCAGGAAACAUGUAUUUCAGGAAGAUAAUGUUGAUUAAAAGAGUUAUAAUGGGUUGUAAUAACUAAAUUCAGGAAAGUUAAUAUUCAAGAACAUAAAUUUGAUUAAAUUUAAAGAACAUGAUGCUAAUUCAGUUUAAAAAAAUUAUCAUCUGUAAAUGAAAUGCUGAAUAAAUUCAGGAACGUUCUGAAAGAGGAAUAUAAUACUGAAUACGGAUAACUGUAACUGAUAGGACUAAUCCUGCAUAAAAUAUUAAUUCACAAAUACAGGAACGUAACUAUAUUUAGGAAUAAGCUAUUAAGGUAUGUGAUAAUUAAAUCUAUCCAAAAACUAGAUUUGUUUAGUAACUUGUGAGGUCCAUUUUCGUGUACGUGAGGCUGAAUUAUUCGUGCUUCUGAUUCACAAUAGAUAUUUUUCUUAUCUAGAAAUGCUGAACAAAUUUAGGAAUAUUUUAUAGAUAAAUAUAUAUGUUGAACGCAGAUAAACUAUAACUGAUAGACCUAUACUGCAUAAUUAAUCCAAAAAGUGAUAGUAGUUAGAUAAGUAAGCAUAAACGGAAACACGAUGGCAAAUAUAUUCAAAAAUAUGCAUUUCGGCAACAUAAAUUUGAUUAAGGUUAUGCUGCCGAUUCAUUUUAGGAACGUUCUUAUCUGGAAAGAUAAUGCUGAAUAAAUUACAGAAAGGAAUAUCAUGUCGGAUUUAGAUAACUAUAAACGAUAAGAUAAUUCUACAAAUAAAAAUAAUUCAUAAUAUGCUUGAUAAAUAAACCUAGAAAAAUAUUUAUCUAGAACAUGAUUCUAACCAAAUCAGGCAAAACAGUAGUGACAUAAAAUUGACUAAAACCAGGAACAUGCUGCUAAUUCAGUCUAGUUUAAGGACAAGGCAUCGAAUAAACUAAUAUUAAAAGACAAAAUUGGAUAGUUUUUAACAAUGUUUCGGUAGAAAUAAGAGAAUAAUAAUAAUAAAAAGGCAGUUAUUUUCUCUGUCGAAUUUACAUUUCGCUAAUAUUAAAAAAUAUGUAAUUUAUCUCUCAAAAUACACGGAAUGAAAGUACAUUUGUCGUGAGUAUAGUUCUAUAUACAAACGAUAAAAACAUUCAGACAGUUCUUUUCAUCCAAUCGCUCUUGUGUACACAUUGCUUUGCCUCCGGGUUCUAUAUAAGUUCUGAUAUGCGUAUCCAUUCUGUUAUGGAAGGAAAACACUUGGGAUUUGAAUACGAUCGACAUUAGUUAUUGUGAGUGAUAUAUAAGCCAGUGUGGUUCGGGGCAAUUGCCAAGACAAACUGCUUACCUGAGAAACUAGAUAUAAUAAAAGCAUCCGUAUUGACACAUAGAUGAUCAAUUAAAAUCCUCCGGUUGCAUUUCCAAGUUUGCUUUAAUCGAUUUUUAUUUAUCGAACACGGUAAGAAUAUUCAAUCAAAAUUGUCAUUAAAAAUUAUCCGGAAAACAAUGCUGGAUUGGUAUACUCAUCGCAUCUUUUGAUGGAUGUGACGUAACCGUAGAUAAAUUUAGUAAUUCGUCAUGCAGCCAACAUACCAGAAAAUAUAUAUGUGCGUAUAUAUGUACGAUAAUGGAAGAAAGGUGUAUAGUUUAAACAGAAACGGGGUUCGUUGCCUUUCAAUGAAUUUGUUUCUCGUUUAUUUAUCGAAGAACGACUUUCGAACAAUAAGGAAAAUAGCCCGAAGAGUAGUUAUUUGCAUUAUAAUCAAUUUAACGAAUAUCAUAUAUUUUAUCAUUAGAUUGAAUUCUAGAAAAAUCAACAAAAAUCUUUUAUUGUUUUCUAAACAAUUCGC
rnacentral:lncRNA from 1 species